UGUGGAAGAAACCAAUCUAUCCAAAGGGGAGGAAAGAGGGCGUUUUUGCUCUUGCGGGUACGAUUAAUUGAACCCCUGUCCUGGAAGGAAGUGGUUGCGUCCUUCUGAGCAUCUGGAGCUAACGGACAAAACCGCCGGUUCUUGGUUCUCCCCAUUCCCUCCUUACUGUUUCUGAAAAGCUUCCGGAAGAAACGCCAGGCCAUGGCGCCUGUAGGUCUGCGUUGGGGCUUCACCGGUAGGCAGGCGCAGCUUUCAUGAAGGCGGAAUGGUUCAAUCAUCUCUUCAAAGAAUUUCCAGCUGGAACAGAAAUUAUAAAGGAGACUUCACAGCAGGCCUCUGACUCAUUAUUUCACAGAUAUUCUAAGCCCUUCUCUAUCUACUCUUCCCUGGAGCCUAGCUGGGAGACACAGACAUUGCAUUGGAAACAUUCCUAAACUGAAGGUUCCAUUAUUGGGGGAGCUCAGAAAUCAAAAAGCAUCAUCCCCUUUUCCUCCUUCAAGCAAACUGGAUGUCAGCAGUCUAAAUGUAAGAGUCUAUGGAAAGAGAAUGUGGGAAAACUGGAGUCAAUUCCUGGGCUAAGUAAAUUCUCAGAAGAGUUAUCCUGCCCUCCCCCUAGCUGGAAACCCAAACUGAUUGUGGAGGAGUGGCAUCUGCAGGAGCAGACAUUCUCUGAGCUAAUUUGCGGGGGAAAGGCAUUGAGGUCUUGGGGUCUCCAUUUAGAAGUCCCUUCUCAAAACUAAAGAGAGUAUCUUAUGCUGAAAUAAAUCUGACUUUAAAGUGCCACAAGGCAUUUUGUUGUUUUUGCUGCUGCAGAGUUAACAUGGAUAUCCUUCUGAAAAGUGUCCUCUUCUCAAAGUAGCACUUCAGGAAUAUGAGCUGGUGACCAAACAUUCCUCUGCAUGUCUACUCAGAAGUAAGUUCCAUCGACGCUUUCAGUCUUACCCGGCUUCUUGUAUGUCACAUAAAUAUAAAGAAAGAGCUCAAUAGCAUAAGUGAUGAGAGCUGCCCGCCAGUCGAUGACGAACAUGACUCCACAACACAGCACAGCUCCAAAAAGGGACACCCACAAGUUGUAAUAUCUGAAGGCAGGUCUCCAACCUGUAGAAAGCAGAAGAGAGUAAAAAGGGCAAGAUUGAAAUAGGUCUCAUGUAUUUAUUAAAUUUAUAUCGUGUCUUCACAAGAACAUACCCAAACUCCCAACUUGCUAUUAUUGUGUGUGAAAUAGGAGUGCAAAUCUUUUUCGUCGGAUUUAAAACUGAAACAACUGUUAGUAUUACAUGGCAUGUGUUGGCAUGUGCAACGCUAGCAAGCAAGAGACUUGGAGGCUCUAGAGAUGUUAUUGACCCUGGUUUCCUUUUUUAUUAUUAUUCAACUGGUAUCAAAUUAGUUUUGCAUGCUUUUUGCAACGCUUCAAGCAGAUUCCUGGAAGAGCUGAAACUAAUCUUCAGAUGUGUUUCCAGUGCUGCUGUAAUACAUGUGUUCAUAUUUUCUGUAUUGUUUGAGACUCAUGCAUGGAACUGAUUUGGAACUGUCUUUGGAGGAGGGGGUGUAAAAUGGCUUUGUCUGUCCUGAAUUUUGUGCCAAUAACUUUACAAGUUCAGGUAGCAUGAAUGAAGGAGAAUAAAUUGCUAUCUGUUCACUUUUUCCAUGCCUUGCAUAUUUUUUUCUAAACCUGUCUCAUGACCCCCCUUAUUUUCCUUUUUUAAGUUUACAAAGACAUGCAUGAUAUAGAGGAAGAGGGAAAAGAGAAUCCCCACCUCUCAUAGUACUAGGAUUUGGGAUCACUCCAUGAAGUCUAUUGUCAAUGAUAGUUUAUGGUCCCUUCAGCUUCAGACCCAGGCCAUUUAGAACACUAAGGGCAAUCGUAAGCAUCUUGAAUGUUUAAAUUGGUUGAAUUUUUAAAGCUCAUUUCUACUAUUUUAAAGUUUUGUAGUUUGGAGGGGUUGGGGUGUCCUGAUAAAUAUUGGUUAGUCACAUGUUGGCAUUUCCUCUUUGUUAUAUUAAAGCUUUCUCUUACUAGAAGUUAAAAAUGGACACGUGGUGAUUUGCUGUUCUCUGCUAGCUGCUCUUCAGAAUGUAUUACUUGAAGCAAAAGAAACAGUAUAAUUCUGUGCUUGCUUUCGUGGAAGUAAGCCUCUGUUCAGCUGGUUUACUCCCAAGUAGAUGAGCAUAGAAGGACAAUCUCUCUAAGAUACAAAGUAGGACCCAGCAGUCCUAAGAUGUACCACCCUAAUAACAGUGGGAUGACAGGUGCUGCUGUGCAGAGUUUUUUCUGUUUUGUAUCCAUGCAGUUACGAGCACUUGUUUACUAAACUAGUUUGGGCAACCACAAUUAGCUGAGGAAAAAGAGCAAUGAUGGAGAAAUGGGUAUUGCUUUUUCUGGAAUGAAUCCAGGUCUUAAGUAAUCACAGUAUUCUAACCCAUGGCAUUCAAAGUAUAUACAGUAAUUGGUACUAAGGCUUCUGCCAGCAUGGAUCUAAUCUGCAAUUGUUUUGCUCUGCAGAUAAUUAGGGGAAGUCUGUCUUUUAAGCCUGCACUCUGAUCAGGCAGCAGCAUGGAAACUGAUAGGAACAGAGUUAAUAUAUAUAUUUAUGCCACCACUGUGGUUUCUUCCAUGCUGGAAAUAAGAGGGCUGUUUCUCUGCAGCUGAAAUAAAUAUCUCCAUGUGGUAUGACAAGCGAUUUGCAGCCAAAGGAAGUUGUUCUUUGAGUAAAAAAAGUAGGACUGUAAGCUUUAAACUCUGGCUUUAGCUGAUUUGAUCCAGAGAGGCUGCGAGUAAAGGGCACCAUCUAUUUUUUACUGAGGUUAGCUUUGCUUGUGGUGCAUUAUUGUAAUAGGCAAUGAAAAAGAAAAUCUGAAUGAUGGUCUUCUGACAAUGAGAGGUAGCUUUCAUUUAUUAAAUUACUAUUAUAGAAUGGCAUUUUUCCUGCAUUAUGUCAAAAAGGCAUCAAACUGAGGUUUGGUAAUAUGCAAAUCAUAUAAAUUUCAUUGAUUUUUUUAAAGGAUAAUUUGUCAAUCAAAAAUUCUAUGACCAGUGGAUGUCCCUGGUAAAAAGAUCAUAAGGGAGGGGGAACCAACUGGUAGAAGAUAAACUGGUAGAUUUAUUCUAUUUUAUGUAAACUAUUUAGAGAUUUUUUUUUAGAGUGAUAUGUAAAUCUUGCUAAACAAAAUAGAUUUCCAAUAAUUUAUGUUCUACUGCUUUUAAAGUCUGCUUUGAUUGUUAUUUUAAAUGAAUGUUUUAUACCAUUUUUGUAAACCACUUAGGUUUUUUAAA